UGGCUUAGGAUGAACGCUAGCGACAGGCCUAACACAUGCAAGUCGAGGGGCAGCACAAGGAGCAAUCUGAGGUGGCGACCGGCGCACGGGUGAGUAACACGUAUGCAACCUGCCUGUAAGCGGGGAAUAACCCGUUGAAAGACGGACUAAUACCGCAUAAUACUAAAUUACUGCAUGGUAAUUUAUUUAAACAUUUAUGGCUUACAGAUGGGCAUGCGCAUGAUUAGCUAGUUGGAGAGGUAACGGCUCCCCAAGGCAACGAUCAUUAGGGGUUCUGAGAGGAAGGUCCCCCACACUGGUACUGAGACACGGACCAGGCUCCUACGGGAGGCAGCAGUGAGGAAUAUUGGUCAAUGGACGAGAGUCUGAACCAGCCAAGUCGCGUGCAGGAAGAAUGUUCCCUAUGGAUUGUAAACUGCUUUUGCAGGGGAAUAAAGUGCAUCACGUGUGAUGUUUUGUAUGUACUCUGCGAAUAAGGAUCGGCUAACUCCGUGCCAGCCGCAGC
rnacentral:rRNA from 1 species